AUUCACGACGAUGAUGAAAAUGUGAUCCCAGCUCAUUACGAGGCCUUCACUAUUAUCAAGGCCUGGGAAUAGAAUUCUCCACAUUUCUCUGAGCCUCAAC